CCGCUCCACCGGCCCGGCCCGGCCCCGCCGCGCCCCGUACCUGCCCCGGCCCGGCGGCGGAAGCGGCGGCGGCGGAAGCGGCGGCGGCGGAAGCGGCGGCGGCGGCGGCGGGCGGAGCGAGCGGAGCCAUGUCGGGCCGGGAGGGCGGCAAGAAGAAGCCGCUGAAGCAGCCGAAGAAGCAGACGAAGGACCUGGAUGAGACGGAUCUGGCAUUCAAACAAAAACAGAAGGAGGAGCAAAAGAAACUUGAGGAGAUGAAAGCAAAAGCUGCUGGGAAAGGGCCUCUGGCCAGUGGUGGAAUAAAGAAGUCUGGCAAAAAGUAGCUUGAUCAAACUGCAGGGUAAGAAGUGAUCAAGUUACUCAAUGGACCUGCAGACUUCACAGGGUCUUGAAAACGCUCUGUCAUUUGGGAAACAAUGUACAUUUUGUUUAGUCACAAUAAAUCCUUUUUGUUAAGAUGUGA